rnacentral:rRNA from 1 species
GACGAACGCUGGCGGCGUGCUUAACACAUGCAAGUCGAACGGAAAGGCCCUGCUUUUGUGGGGUGCUCGAGUGGCGAACGGGUGAGUAACACGUGAGUAACCUGCCCUUGACUUUGGGAUAACUUCAGGAAACUGGGGCUAAUACCGGAUAGGAGCUCCUGCUGCAUGGUGGGGGUUGGAAAGUUUCGGCGGUUGGGGAUGGACUCGCGGCUUAUCAGCUUGUUGGUGGGGUAGUGGCUUACCAAGGCUUUGACGGGUAGCCGGCCUGAGAGGGUGACCGGCCACAUUGGGACUGAGAUACGGCCCAGACUCCUACGGGAGGCAACAGUGGGGAAUAUUGCACAAUGGGCGGAAGCUUGAUGCAGCAACGCCGCGUGCGGGAUGACGGCCUUCGGGUUGUAAACCGCUUUCGCCUGUGACGAAGCGUGAGUGACGGUAAUGGGUAAAGAAGCACCGGCUAACUACGUG